rnacentral:rRNA from 1 species
GAUGAACGCUGGCGGCGUGCUUAACACAUGCAAGUCGAACGAAGCAUUCGCGACAGAUUUUUUCGGAAUGAAGUUGCUUAUGACUGAGUGGCUGACGGGUGAGUAACGCGUGGGUAACCUGCCUUGUUCUGGGGGAUUGCCGCUGGAAACGGCUGGUAAUACCGCAUAAUCGCCCAAUGUUGCAUGACAUGGUGUGAAAAACUCCGGUGGUAUAAGAUGGACCCGCGUCUGAUUAGUUAGUUGGUGAGAUAACAGCCCACCAAGGCGACGAUCAGUAGCCGACCUGAGAGGGUGACCGGCCACAUUGGGACUGAGACACGGCCCAGACUCCUACGGGAGGCAGCAGUGGGGAAUAUUGCACAAUGGAGGAAACUCUGAUGCAGCGACGCCGCGUGAGUGAAGAAGUAAUUCGUUAUGUAAAGCUCUAUCAGCAGGGAUGAUAGUGACGGUACCUGACUAAGAAGCUCCGGCUAAAUACGUG